rnacentral:rRNA from 1 species
AGUGAACGCUGGCGGUAGGCCUAACACAUGCAAGUCGAACGGCAGCACCCUACUAUCUUGCUCUUACGGGUGGCGAAUGGCGGACGGGAGAGGAAUACAUCGGACUCUACUUUUUCGGGUGGGUUAACGUAGGGAAACUUACGCUAAUACAGCAUACGCCCUUGGAUGGAAAGCGUUGGAACGUCUGACCUUGCGCGAUUGAAUGCGCGGCUGUCGUAUUAGUUAGUUGGCGGGUUAAUUGCCCACCAAGGCGACGAUCCGCAGCCGGAGUGAGUGGCUGAUAGCCGGCACUGGAACUGGGACACGGUCAAGACUACUACGGGAGGGAGCAGUGGCGAAUGGUGGACAACAGGCGGAAGCAUGAUCCAGUCAGCCCGCGUGGGUGAAGAAGGCGUUCGGGUUGUAAAGCCCUUUUGUUGGGAAAGAAAAGCAGCAGGCUAAUACCCAGCUGUUCUGACGGUAACCAAAGAAUAAGCACCGGCUAACUUCGUG